CCUACGGGUGUCAGCAGUGGGGAAUAUUGCACAAUGGGCGCAAGCCUGAUGCAGCCAUGCCGCGUGUGUGAAGAAGGCCUUCGGGUUGUAAAGCACUUUCAGCGGGGAGGAAGGCGGUGAGGUUAAUAACCUCAUCGAUUGACGUUACCCGCAGAAAAAGCACCGGCUAACUCCGUGCCAGCAGCCGCGGUAAUACGGAGGGUGCAAGCGUUAAUCGGAAUUACUGGGCGUAAAGCGCACGCAGGCGGUCUGUCAAGUCGGAUGUGAAAUCCCCGGGCUCAACCUGGGAACUGCAUUCGAAACUGGCAGGCUAGAGUCUUGUAGAGGGGGGUAGAAUUCCAGGUGUAGCGGUGAAAUGCGUAGAGAUCUGGAGGAAUACCGGUGGCGAAGGCGGCCCCCUGGACAAAGACUGACGCUCAGGUGCGAAAGCGUGGGGAGCAAACAGGAUUAGAUACCCCAGUAGUC
rnacentral:rRNA from 1 species